CUGGCUUCCUGCCUCCCAGCAGCACACACUUCCAGUCCAAUAACCAGACACCAGAGCCCAAGGUCCACAAUGCUCUCUGUGACCUCAGCAAAAGCUAGGACCAGGCCUAUUUCAAAGCAGAACUGCUUGCUGGGAGGAUGGGAGAUGGGGUUGGCUGGACCUGGUUGGUCAGGCGUCUGGUGUGGAGCUAAGGCGUCCAACCACAUCGACUCCUCCACGUCUGGCUUCAUUCCAGGUCCUGCUCGCUGCAGCUAGAACAGUUGCCCUUCUUGUCUGCUACGGAGUGAAAAACAGGAAUGUUGUGGAUUAAAUUCAAGAUGCCCUAUAUCACCAAUCACCAGUCAGUCCCUGUGAUGGUUUGUAUAUCCUUGGACCAGGGAGUGGCACCAUCUGAAGGUAUGGCCUUGUUGGAAUAGGUGUGACCUGGUUGGAAUGGGUGUGUCACUGUAAGUGUGGGUAUAAGAUCCUCACCCUAGUUGCCUGGAAAUCAGUCUUCCACUAGCAGCCUUUGGAUAGAGACAUAGAACUCUCAGCUCCUGUGCCAUGCCUGCCUGGAUACUGCCAUGCUCCCACCUUGAUGAUAAUAGACUGAACCUCUGAACCUAUAAGCC
rnacentral:lncRNA from 1 species